UACGUAGGGCGCGAGCGUUGUCCGGAUUUAUUGGGCGUAAAGAGCUCGUAGGCGGUCUGUCGCGUCUGCUGUGAAAACUCAGGGCUUAACCCUGAGCUUGCAGUGGGUACGGGCAGACUAGAGUUCGGUAGGGGAGACUGGAAUUCCUGGUGUAGCGGUGAAAUGCGCAGAUAUCAGGAGGAACACCGGUGGCGAAGGCGGGUCUCUGGGCCGUAACUGACGCUGAGGAGCGAAAGCGUGGGGAGCGAACAGG
rnacentral:rRNA from 1 species